AUGAUGGACUAUAGGACAGGACUGCUGCGUCUAACUGUCUGCUGGGCAGGUGUUGAUGGUCAGACUCUGACAGAAUCUGAACCAGCAGUUAAAAGUCCUGGAGGACCUCACAGAUUGACCUGUACAGCCUCUGGACUUGACAUUAGUAGCUCUUGGAUGGCCUGGAUCAGACAGGCUCCUGGAAAAGGACUGGAGUGGGUUGCAACUAUUGAAGAUGAUAGUGAUCGUAUCUUCUACUCUCAGUCAGUCAGAGGGCGGUUUACCAUCUCCAGAGACAACAGCAGACAGCAGCUGUAUCUGCAGAUGAACAGUCUGAAGACUGAAGAUUCUACUGUUUAUUAUUGUGCUCAAAAGCCACAGUGA